UCUCAGUAAUGGUAGUCUUACAGGAGUGGCUUGAACUUUGUAUUGUAUGUGCAUGGCAGAAUCCUUAUUUCCAUGCGACACUUCAGAGAGCAGGAUGCACCUAUGCUGCAAGAGUGUCCUGUGGCAUGGAAAUAAGGCAUAACAACAACGUUCUCGGGCCCUUUAGGUAAAGACGGAGGCUGUCUGGAUCCAACCUGGAAUUUCGGGCCGUCUGUAUUAAUCUGGUGGCAAGACGAAACACUGCCCCUUGUCUCAGGGUGGUUGGAUCACUAUGAUGCUUAGCCUAUGAGAAACAGGCUAACUUUUGAUGAUAUAGACUUGGCCUCCUGGAUGAUGGACAGUGGAAGUGAGGUGUUCUCUGCUGCUCUUAUACCUCAAACAGACCAAGGAGGAUCCGGAGCCUAUCCCGUGAACACUAGACAUAAGGUGGGAGAAUUUAUCCUAGAUGAGAUGCCAUCUAUGUGAGCACUGACACAUUCACAUGCUCAUUCCCACCAUGUGUGAGCAGCCAAUCCAUCUACCUGCAUGUUUUUGAUAGCAGGAGGAAACCAGAGAACCCUGAACGGUACGGUAGAAAUCCAUGUGAAUGCAAGUGCUGUUAAGUGGGAAUGGCUUAUUCCAGAACUAGUUUACGUAAAAUCCAUUACAGCAAAUAAUAUUUCUUCAGUUAAUUGCUCUUUUUUUUAAAUUCAUCUUUUCAGAGAUAUAACUCCUUUUUUCAGAGGAAGGAAUAUGUGGUUAUUGGUUACCAAGAUGUUCUUGUUACUUUGACCAAAAAAACCAUUCCACAAAUUAUACAAGAUUUAUCAGAAUGACCAAUAAGUUACCAGAAUUAAUUAUUUUAUGUAUUGAGAGUCAGGCCACAUAAGAGGCAUUUUCUUUAAGAUCCUUUUUGCUGGAAUUUCUUUAUGUUGCAUGUUUUUAUCAUAAGAUUUCAAUAAUUGCUCUCAGAUCCCAAAUGUAAACUUCAGGUAAACAAGUUUUCUGUUAUGAUCUCUGUGGAAGAUAUUGUGUCAACAAUUUCUUUGCUGUGUUAAUCAUACAUGUGUUACAGAUACACUAAACUGUAAAAACAAAUGAUUUAACAUCGGACACUAUGUAAAAGUAUAAUCUAAAUAUCUUUAUUAUAAAUUCUGUACAUGAAAUUAUACUGACUGAUCCAAAAGCUCUGUGUACCUAUCUGAGCCAUGAUUUGGCAGAGGGCCACUUGUUUGAGAUAAGUAGACUUGCCACUCAUGUUUGGGCCUGUGAUUAUAACAAAGUUGUUUCCCUCAGAGAUAUGGCUGUUGUUGGGGAUGGGCUGCUGGCCAGCAAUGCGCUCCAGGAUUGGAUGGCGGCCUUGUUUUAUUGCUAGUGUAUCAGUGAAUUCAGGCCGCACUGUGGCACAAACACAUGAAAUAUAUAAUUGUGUUAAAUAGAAACAUGUCAGCAGCCUUAGGACAUCAAACAAUGGAGCAUAUUUAGAAAUGUCUGUAUCCAGAGCCUAAUCUUACCGUAGUCUGAAAUAGUGCAAACAUUGGCAAGGGAGAGUAACAUAUCCAGCAUGGACACAGCAUCAGACAGCUUAUACAAGCAGUGAAUAUGUUUAUAGACCUCAUUGAGUAACCUGCAUAUUACACUAAGGAGAUGUAAAAAAAAAAAAAAAAAGAAAAA